rnacentral:sRNA from 1 species
GCUGGGUGUGGUGGAGCACUCCUGUAAUUCCAGCAACUCAGGAGACUGAGGCAGGAGGAUUGCAAGUUCCAGGUCAGUCUCAGAGACUUAGCAAGAUCCCAUCUCAA